GAUGAACGCUGGCGGCGUGCCUAAUACAUGCAAGUCGAGCGAACAGACGAGGAGCUUGCUCCUCUGACGUUAGCGGCGGACGGGUGAGUAACACGUGGAUAACCUACCUAUAAGACUGGGAUAACUUCGGGAAACCGGAGCUAAUACCGGAUAAUAUAUUGAACCGCAUGGUUCAAUAGUGAAAGACGGUUUUGCUGUCACUUAUAGAUGGAUCCGCGCCGCAUUAGAUAGUUGGUAAGGUAACGGCUUACCAAGGCGACGAGGCGUAGCCGACCUGAGAGGGUGAUCGGCCACACUGGAACUGAGACACGGUCCAGACUCCUACGGGAGGCAGCAGUAGGGAAUCUUCCGCAAUGGGCGAAAGCCUGACGGAGCAACGCCGCGUGAGUGAUGAAGGUCUUCGGAUCGUAAAACUCUGUUAUUAGGGAAGAACAAAUGUGUAAGUAACUAUGCACGUCUUGACGGUACCUAAUCAGAAAGCCACGGCUAACUACGUG
rnacentral:rRNA from 1 species